GUCCUAUAAAGACAAAUUUCUCCAUUUCGCGGGGAGAAUAAAUGAUGGAGCGGAAUACAUUCGGGAAAUAAAGCAAUCGGAAUUUUUAUAUAUAAGAGAGAGGGUCGUCUUCAACUUGAUCUUCACAUACAUAUUUAAUUUUCGAAAUGUAUCAUUGCAAUCUACGAAUGUCUUAAUAUAUGUUAAAAUCCUAGAUAAAGAAUUAUCACGUUAUUAAUUAUUUUCAGUUAUUAAUUAUAAGAAUUAUUUAUUUUUAUAUGUCAAGCUAACAGAUUUUAUUAUUAACAAAAUCCAUAAAUUGCUUCAAAGGAAAGGAGGAAGAGCCAUGGAGUUUGUACGGCUGCAUUCAAUACUUCAAUAAAUAGCAUCACUCCGUAUUCUCCGUAUCCUCCGAGAGGUAAAAAUCGUAACGAGAGAGAUGUUCCACUAUAAGAACAAUGAUAUAUCCAUAAGAAUAAGCGUGCGAAGCAAAAGCCAUGAAAGGACACGAGACAAAUGACGUUUGCGAGAACGUGUCGGGACCGAACUUCGUAAGACGUGCCCGAAAUCUGUAACCGAAAGCUGAUCACCUACCGACGAAGGGAUUCCCGUAGCG